UACAGAGGCCUCGAGCGUUAGGCGGAAUCACUGGGCUUAAAGCGUGUGUAGGUGGAUGUCUAAGUACCUUGUGAAAUCCCACGGCUUAACCAUGGAAUUGCUUGGUAUACUGGGCGUCUUGAGCCACUCAGGGGCUACUGGAACAAACGGUGGAGCGGUGAAAUGCGUAGAUAUCGUUUGGAACGCCAAUGGUGAAAACAGGUAGCUGGGGGUGUGCUGACACUGAGACACGAAAGCCAGGGGAGCAAACGGG
rnacentral:rRNA from 1 species